rnacentral:rRNA from 1 species
UAGAGUUUGAUCCUGGCUCAGGACGAACGCUGGCGGCGUGCUUAACACAUGCAAGUCGAGCGGUAAGGCUCCUUCGGGAGUACACGAGCGGCGAACGGGUGAGUAACACGUGAGCAAUCUGCCCUUCUCAUCGGAAUAACCAUUGGAAACGAUGGCUAAUGCCGAAUAUGACCUCGGAUCACAUGUUCUGAGGUGGAAAGCUCCGGCGGAGAAGGAUGAGCUCGCGGCCUAUCAGCUUGUUGGUGAGGUAAUAGCUCACCAAGGCGAUGACGGGUAGCCGGCCUGAGAGGGUGACCGGCCACACUGGGACUGAGACACGGCCCAGACUCCUACGGGAGGCAGCAGUGGGGAAUAUUGGACAAUGGGCGCAAGCCUGAUCCAGCAAUGCCGCGUGUGUGAAGAAGGCCUUCGGGUUGUAAAGCACUUUUAUCAGGAACGAAAUACCACGGGUUAAUAACCUAUGGGGCUGACGGUACCUGAGGAAUAAGCACCGGCUAACUUCGUGCCAGCAGCCGCGGUACCCAAUCGCC